GAUGAACGCUGGCGGCAGGCUUAACACAUGCAAGUCGAGGGGCAGCAUAAUGGAUAGCAAUAUCUAUGGUGGCGACCGGCGCACGGGUGCGUAACGCGUAUGCAACCUACCUUUAACAGGGGGAUAACGCUGAGAAAUUUGUACUAAUACCCCAUAAUAUCAUAGAAGGCAUCUUUUAUGGUUGAAAAUUCCGCUGGUUAGAGAUGGGCAUUCGUUGUAUUAGCUAGUUGGUGGGGUAACGGCUCACCAAGGCGACGAUACAUAGGGGGACGGAGGGGUUGACACCCCAGACUGGUACCGCGCACCGGACCACAAUGCUACGGGACGGAGCAGUAAGGAAGACAGGGGAAGGGACGCUAGUCCGAACCAGCCAUGCCGGGUGCAGAAGCACGGCUCUAUGAGUUGUAAACUGCUUUUGUAAAAGGGCAACCGCAGAUAACUGUGCCUGUCUGACGGUAUCGUAAGAAUAAGAACCGGCUAACUCCGUG
rnacentral:rRNA from 1 species